GCGCUGGGCAGUAGCCCUGGGUGAGGUAGGAGGAUGUGGGUCCUGGACGAUAAACGGCUGCUCCCCAGAACCUAGAGCACUUCCGCAGCAGGGAGAGAAUUUCACAGCUCAUUGACUGCUCUGACUCCUAAUCUACACCGAGGAAACAAUGUUGCAGCUCAUCAAAUGCAAUCAGCUGCUAAUUGAAAGGAAAUGGAAUUUUACAAUUACAGGCCACCUUUCAGUGCUCAGGAUUUCUAAGCACUUCUCCCCACCUUCCUUUGCCAGCUCAGCACUGGCAGGAGCACUUGACAACCUGCUAGAGACUUCCCUAAAAGCUGCAUUUAGGACCUGGCCCGUUCUCCCCAGCUCCAGAGCAGCAGCAAAGGGAAGCAGCGUCCUCGCCAAUACCUGGGCUGUCCUUCAAGGCUCAGUGCAAGGAAAAACACCUGGGUUGGACAUCAGGUCACACUCCACUCCAACCGUAGCUCCUGUUACCGACUCAGGAGCAAACAAACCAGCC
rnacentral:lncRNA from 1 species